GUACCAGGUCAGCCAGCCGCCCGGGAUAUGAAAAGUGUGCAUCGGGCAGAUUUUUUACGGGGGAAAAUUUGUAUUGGUACUCUACAACUGAUAGUAAAUACAAUCUCAAUCCGGACAUGGCAUUAGAGUCUUGGUUUAGCGAGCAUAUUAACUUUACCCAUGGUCCACUUCGGAAAAGUCACUUCGAUAAGUCGAAAAGUCAUAAGAUUGGCCAUUACACUCAGAUGGCAUGGUCUAACAGCGUCUACAUCGGCUGCGCGAUAUUGCAAACAAAGAAAGGCGAAUGGAACAACUUUUAUGUAGUCUGCAACUAUGGACCAAAGUAUGUUUCUAUUAAUUUAUAUUUAUUAAAUUUACGGGUAAAUUUAGUUGAACUUAACUUCAUUAAAAGUUCAUGAGAUUUAUUCGUCUGCUGGGCAUGUAAUAAGACGCCAAGGUAUUUUCUGCAUCCUUAUAUUGGGAAAGUUUGUUCAGCGCCAUAAGCUCUUUCUAAUGCCUUACGAAAAGUGUUGCUUUGCUUGAGCUGGUCACGGAAGACAACUAUUCAACCGUUAGAAUUUUUAGAUGACACUUGCCAAAAAGUGGCUAUUGUUAAAGUGGUGGCAAAACAAAACAUGCAGUAUGGAUACACUCGUAGAGUUAGUAACACUAAUAUAAUUGGGUUUGAUGCAUUGUAGGCUAUCAAAGUUGUGGAGAAACGACUUAAUGUAACUUAUUAAGUAGGUAUUUCAUAUUUUCUAAGAUUUGUCAGUGGUCGACUUCGUCGUCUAAAGAUGUAAUAGAUGGACAAGGUAUAUUUAUUAUUAGAAAAUUUGCUCGGAGUUUGUGCCCUUCCAAACACGGUUAGAAAAUGUAUACCUGUGUUAUUGAGCUAAUAAUAACUGGUUCAACUUUUAAUGUUAGGGAGUCAAGGUUAUAGGCACGUGGACGGAGUGUUAGGAAACUAGUUUAGUUCUUAUGUACCUGAGAAUAAAAACUUAUUUUCAGUGGGAACAACCUGGGUGGAGAACCGUACAAGACUAGUGGUGGCUCCAGUGGAAAAUUGACAUGCGGUGCCAAAGACUGCAGUCAUCCUUAUGGAAGUAAAUGUAAAAAGACAAAGACGUGAAAAAUAUACAUUUAUAAAACACAAUCAAUAAAAGAUUCAUGGUAAAAUUGUUGUUUAAUUUUGUUUUUUGGACCUCAGUAUUUUAGGACAUUUUAUAUCAACGUGUUUGAUGAGAUGAAACGAUGAAACGUUCCGAACUCGAGGCAAAUUCGAUUAACUCAUCGGCAGUUGUAAAUAGCGGAAUUGGGGCCCCAGAGGUAUCGCGAAAUAACGCAGAGCAGAGAGCGAUGUCUUCUAAUAACAAAUUACAGUCAAACAAGAUCACAGUACUGACAGUACAAAGGCUGCAGAAGGAUCUCCAGGCUCAGCUCAGGGACGAAACCCGUGCAAGAAGGUUGCAUGAAGAAUAUGGAUGUGCUGCGGGUCCGAUGUCCGUAUUGGACAACUUGGACAAGCAUUUACGAGAUUCAUAAUUGCUGCUUUGAUUGUUCGAAAUGUCAGCACCUUUGGGCCUCAAGGAUUUCUUCAUUUCAACUUUCUUUACUAUCAUAUAAGUAAAAAGCUGGUUCACGUUAUCAAUACUACUAAUCGAUGUUAGAUUUUCGACCGGUUUUUAUAAUGAAACAAUCGAACGUGAUGGAUAAUUGAUUGGAUUUUGAUUUACUUAAUUGUCUUUUAUUAAUUACUUGCUGUUGCCAGGGGCUCUACCCGCUACAAUUCAAAUCAUCCCACGGGAAUAAAAAUCAGCACUAAAACUUUCUACGUUAUAAACUAUGUGUGUACGAUUUUUUUGCCCAAUCCGGUUUUUAGCUGAAAGAGUAGGUAAAAAACAGCCGUUCAUACCUAGAAACUUUCACGUUUAGAAUAUUAGCAGGGUGUUAUUUUUUGUAUGUAAAUCUGUCGUCACCUUUUUCUAUGGAAAAAGGCUUUUGCUCAGCAGUGGGACGUCAAGAAACUAUAUUAUUUAUUAUGUUAUGAUACAGAAAUGAACACAUCAACGAAAUCAGGGAAUAAGUAUUUUGAAUUUGUAGCAUUAUUAGUACACUAGUCUCAAUUUGCAUGUAAUGAAUUUGUAACUAAACUACAAAACUAAUCUCAA